rnacentral:rRNA from 1 species
UACGUAGGCGACAAGCGUUGUCCGGAUUUACUGGGCGUAAAGAGCGCGCAGGCGGUCGAUCAAGUCGCGUGUGAAAGCCCCCGGCUCAACUGGGGAGGGUCACGCGAUACUGGUCGACUCGAAGGCAGGAGAGGGUAGUGGAAUUCCCGGUGUAGUGGUGAAAUGCGUAGAUAUCGGGAGGAACACCAGUGGCGAAGGCGACUACCUGGCCUGUUUCUUGACGCUGAGGCGCGAAAGCUAGGGGAGCAAACGGG